UGGGGAAUUUUGGACAAUGGGGGCAACCCUGAUCCAGCCAUCCCGCGUGUGCGAUGAAGGCCUUCGGGUUGUAAAGCACUUUUGGCAGGGAAGAAACAGCCUGGGCUAAUAUCCCGGGCGACUGACGGUACCUGCAGAAUAAGCACCGGCUAACUACGUGCCAGCAGCCGCGGUAAUACGUAGGGUGCAAGCGUUAAUCGGAAUUACUGGGCGUAAAGCGUGCGCAGGCGGUUCGGAAAGAAAGGUGUGAAAUCCCAGGGCUUAACCUUGGAACUGCACUUUUAACUACCGGGCUAGAGUACGUCAGAGGGGGGUAGAAUUCCACGUGUAGCAGUGAAAUGCGUAGAGAUGCGGAGGAAUACCGAUGGCGAAGGCAGCCCCCUGGGAUGAUACUGACGCUCAUGCACGAAAGCGUGGGGAGCAAACA
rnacentral:rRNA from 1 species